rnacentral:rRNA from 1 species
GACGAACGCUGGCGGCGUGCUUAACACAUGCAAGUCGAACGGAAAGGCCCUGCUUUUGGGGGUGGCUCGAGUGGCAAACGGGGAAGUAACACGUGAGUACCCUGCCCUUGCUUUGGGGAUAACUUCGGAAAACGGGGCCUAUUACCGGAAAGAAGCCCCGCCUGAUUGGUGGGGGUUGGAAAGUUUCGGCGGUGGGGGAUGGACUCGCGGCUUAUCAGCUUGUUGGUGGGGUAGUGGCUUACCAAGGCUUUGACGGGUAGCCGGCCUGAGAGGGUGACCGGCCACAUUGGGACUGAGAUACGGCCCAGACUCCUACGGGAGGCAGCAGUGGGGAAUAUUGCACAAUGGGCGGAAGCCUGAUGCAGCAACGCCGCGUGCGGGAUGACGGCCUUCGGGUUGUAAACCGCUUUCGCCUGUGACGAAGCGUGAGUGACGGUAAUGGGUAAAGAAGCACCGGCUAACUACGUG